rnacentral:rRNA from 1 species
AAAUUGAAGAGUUUGAUCAUGGCUCAGAUUGAACGCUGGCGGCAGGCCUAACACAUGCAAGUCGAACGGUAACAGGAAGCAGCUUGCUGCUUCGCUGACGAGUGGCGGACGGGUGAGUAAUGUCUGGGAAACUGCCUGAUGGAGGGGGAUAACUACUGGAAACGGUAGCUAAUACCGCAUAACGUCGCAAGACCAAAGAGGGGGACCUUCGGGCCUCUUGCCAUCGGAUGUGCCCAGAUGGGAUUAGCUAGUAGGUGGGGUAACGGCUCACCUAGGCGACGAUCCCUAGCUGGUCUGAGAGGAUGACCAGCCACACUGGAACUGAGACACGGUCCAGACUCCUACGGGAGGCAGCAGUGGGGAAUAUUGCACAAUGGGCGCAAGCCUGAUGCAGCCAUGCCGCGUGUAUGAAGAAGGCCUUCGGGUUGUAAAGUACUUUCAGCGGGGAGGAAGGGAGUAAAGUUAAUACCUUUACUCAUUGACGUUACCCGCAGAAGAAGCACCGGCUAACUCCGUGCCAGCAGCCGCGGUAAUACGGAGGGUGCAAGCGUUAAUCGGAAUUACUGGGCGUAAAGCGCACGCAGGCGGUUUGUUAAGUCAG